GUCCCUUUGGGGACAUCCGAUAAAAAUGGAAUGAUACAGAGAAGAUUAGCAUGGCCCCUGAGCAGGGAUGACACGCACAGAUCAAAAAAUGGUCCAAAUUUUU
rfam:Capsicum annuum cultivar Zunla-1 chromosome 4, whole genome shotgun sequence